GGUGUCGGUAGAAAUAUCUGUAAAUAUAUAGUUAUUAAUUAUAAUUUGCCGAAGCUGCAGACCAUAUGACCAAACAUACCAUAUGAGGGAUAUGAUACUCAUCUAUCAUUAUGAAAAAAGUAGCAACGUUAGAUGUUAACUUCCUCCUCCCACGCUUUGCCGGCACAGGAGCCUGCGCUGACUGGUUGUUGGUACUUGUUGGAGAUGCCGCAGCUGGAGGCCUAGACACUGCAUCUGGUAUACCCAGCGGUCGUUGCUGCUUGUGGUAGCACUGCUCCGGAGUGACUACAUAGCCAUUGUCUCCGAAUGCUAAAAUAAGGAAAAGAAACCAAGAUAAAUAUCUUUGCUCCUUGCAAAGAACUGCAUUAAA